GCCUGGGUGGCUCAGCAUGUUAAGCUUCUGACUUUGGCUCUGGUCAUGAUCUCACAGUUGGUGAGUUCGAGCCCCACCUCAGGCU
rnacentral:tRNA from 1 species